ensembl:lncRNA
CAACUGACAGAGACAUUUAUCAUUUUAGACAACUGACAGAGACAUAUUUAUCAUUUUAGACAACUGACAGAGACAUAUUUAUCAUUUUAGACAACUGACAGAGACACAUUCAUCAUUUUAUCCAACUGACAGACAUUUAUCAUUUUAUCCAACUGACAGACAUUUAUCAUUUUAGCCAACUGACAGAGACAUUUAUCAUUUUAGACAACUGACAGAGACAUAUUUAUCAUUUUAGACAACUGACAGAGACAUAUUUAUCAUUUUAUCCAACUGACAGAGACAUUUAUCAUUUUAGACAACUGACAGAGACAUAUUUAUCAUUUUAGACAACUGACAGAGACAUAUUUAUCAUUUAGACAACUGACAGAAACAUAUUUAUCAUUUUAGACAACUGACAGAGACAUAUUUAUCAUUUUAGACAACUGACAGAGACACAUUCAUCAUUUUAUCCAACUGACAGACAUUUAUCAUCUUAGCCAACUGACAGAGACAUUUAUCAUUUUAGACAACUGACAGAGACACAUUUAUCAUUUUAUCCAACUGACAGACAUUUAUCAUUUUAGCCAACUGACAGAGACAUAUUUAUCAUUUUAGACAACUGACAGAGACAUAUUUAUCAUUUUAGACAACUGACAGAGACAUAUUUAUCAUUUUAGACAACUGACAGAAACAUAUUUAUCAUUUUAGACAACUGACAGAGACAUUUAUCAUUUUAGACAACUGACAGAGACAUUUAUCAUUUUAGACAACUGACAGAGACAUUUAUCAUUUUAGACAACUGACAGAAACAUAUUUAUCAUUUUAGACAACUGACAGAGACAUAUUUAUCAUUUUAGACAACUGACAGACAUAUUUUGCACCUAUCUUUACCAAGGGUGCCAAUACUAAUCUAGAGCGUAACUUUGUGUAAAAUUGCUUAGUGCUGAUAUGAUGAACGUUGAUUGUCUGUGCUUGCCCCGCCCCCUGUGUCUGAUAGGCUGCUGCAUGAGAUUUUCCCUCGUGCAUCAGAACUCUACGAACGCGUGGCAGCGAAUCGCGAGCAGUGGACCAAAGUUUCACACAAGUUCACCAUCCGCGGUUUACCCAGCAACAACUCGCUGGACUUCCUGGAUGAGGAGUACGAGCUGAUGCAGGCGCAGGGGGCGUUCGGGACGACGGUCACCGCAUGAAUGGCUGCCUGGACGACGAGUGCAGCAAGACGGACCAAUGAACUCCUCAAAGUGCAACGUUUUCACUCUGAAACAGGUAGACGUUACGCCAUUGUGUCAUCUCCGAGAGGACGGCGUCGUAGACGGAACAAACCGGGGUGUGGUUGGACGACAGUCGAGACACUGGAGUUCCGUGGGCGGAGCUGAUAUGCUGCAGAUAAUGAUGUCAUUUCCUGCCAUUUGAACCAUUUGCGCAAGCAGAACAUUUCACUUGUGGUGGGGCCGGGGGCGGAGCCUCGUGUUUUUGUGUCGAAUAUUUCAGAUAUGUUCUUUAAUUAUUUACUUAACGUUUUGAUAGCUGAACAAAGCCUGAGUGUUUGAUUUUAUAUAUAUUUUCUGUCCUGCUGUAAACAUUAUAAACGCCAUCCAGAUGUAUAGAAGUGACGUUUAGUUGAUGAAACAGUUUACGGGAAAUGUUUCUUUGAGUAAGCAUCGCUGUAGAAAUGUCGUCAUCGCCAGCUAGAUCUUUCAUUUCACACGCAGAAUGAGUGAACAGGGAUUUUUAUUUUACUGUAAAGACAAUCAAACCGUUACAAGUCCUGUACAUCCCUUUUCCCAUCCUCAUAAGUGCGACUGCCCAUGACGAGAGAACACUCGAGAUGAGGCUGCUGAAACUUUGCCCUCAGUCCCUCAUCCUGUCACAUGACUCAGCCUCAGUUCAGGUAAGCCCAAAAAAAAAAAAAAAAAUCUGCGCUCAUUUCCCAGACCGAAAUUCCCCCCACAAGCUCCUGUUGGAACGGAGUGCAUUAUGGCUGCGUUCAUGAGAUGAGAAAUUUAACUAUUUAAUGUUUAUCAUCAUAAUAGAUCCAAAGACUGCGAGUUUAACUGUGUCCGGCGAAUUUAAGGCCACUUCAGUACAAAUCUCCUGACUUCUGAGAAUGUCGUACCAGCGGCGUUCCCACUUCUUUUUGUAAGAACAUUUUAAGGGCUACAGCGCCCUCUGAGGCACGUGAAGAGGUUUAUUUCUCAGGCGGAAAACAGAAUUAUGUAUAAAUAUGGAUUUGCCUUAUCACGUAUAUGUGUUGCCUUUUUGAGUAGAGUUAAACUAAUAUAUAUACACACACGCACACACACACACACAGUUUUAAAGCUAUACAGCUCAGCGUGUGCAGGCAUGUUAACACGGGUGUGAAAGUCAAACCCAAGGCUAAAUCCGACUCUGCUAGUAUGCUAGCUGGUGUAAAGUAAAUCUCUAAUCCAAUCGGUGUAAACUAACUAAUUAUUAAUGUUCCCUAUAAAUAAUGUUCGAAAUAUAUAGGGCUAAUUUCAUUUCUUCAUACUUGAGUUCAUUUUCAGCGAGCCCUUUAUCCCAGUCAGGGUCACCGUGGAUCCCAGAUUAAUGGAUUCAUUCCAGAUGUUUUCACAAGGGCUAUACAGAUGGGACUAGUUUUAUAUGGGAAGGCUGGGUGAUGUAAUAAUUACCAGAGCUUCUCUGUGAUUUUAAUCCCGUGUGAACUGGUCAUGUCAGCUAUUUUUCCGGACUUUCUUCCCGGACUGUGCAGGGAAGGUUACGGUGUCUUUUACCUGCUAUAAAAACCCCUGUAAAGAUAACCCAGGUUAAUCUAAUCCCGUGCGAACUGACCGAUACACAGAUUCAGGUAUGACUUGAUUGAUUGGGUUUGGAUAAACAACCAUCUUACUCUCAUUUAUUAACAAAGACUGAUUAAAAAUAAAUCAAAAUGAAUUCAGUCUAAAAAGCAGCUUAAAAAUAUGUGGGGAAAAAAGAAAAGAAACAUCUUCGACAUAAUGUAAAAAAAAAAUAAUAAUAAUGAAAUAAAAAAGAAUGAAAUCUUUUUUGAUUGUCCAGAUAAUUUAGUUGCAGAAAAUCAUGAGAAUAAAACAACGCCAGGGUGCCGAGACUUUCUCUCCUGCGCUAACAUGUCCGCCGCCUCAGCUUUCCACGCGUGACGUACUACUGAAAGCCAGUCGUAUAAACGAAUUUCCGUACACGAGCCAAAUUUCUUACAACAUGAAAAGAAAUCUGUAUAAAGAGGUAACGGUGAGUUUUAUGAGAUCCAGCUCGUUCUGUUAAACGCGACAUCAACACUGACUUGAAUUUCUAUUCCUCCAUGCUGUAGUUUAAUAUGAUCACAGCUUCAGCUCUCAUGUGCAAUAUGUCGUUCCUGUAACGUGUAAAUAACCACGUGUGCUUUUUAAAUGAUUCCUUUUUACAACAUACUGAACAUAUUUUCUGGUAUUUCUUCGUAUCUGAAGGUGGAAAUGAUUUUGUUUCCCUUUUCUGUUUGUUUGUUUUUUGCUUCUUUUUUGUCCCCCUCACUAACAGAUGAACGUUUCUCUCGUGCCGUCCCCGUCACUUUGGAAAAAACGUGACGAACGUUCCUGUAAAUAUGAACUUAAAGAAAUGUUUCUCUAUUCUAUGUAAUUACCAGAUGUUUAAAAAAGCGAGUUAUUUAUCUAUUUAAAACGGAGCGUCUGUGACGACGGUAUUGGUGGUCUUUCUUAGAUUUAGUGGCCUUCCUAAACAUUUCUGCAUCAUUCAGAUUUCAAAUAUUAAAAAAGGUCUAAAACAUGAAAUUUAUAUUAGAAGUGUAACGUUUCGGCUGCUCACGAUGAAAAAACCAAACAAAGCAAUUUUAAAAAUGAUACGAGACUAGCUUCACCUUUAGCAUGGGUUUAAAAAUAAAUCGAUGGUUUGAUCAAGAUUUCAGCUCCAGUUAGUCCCAAUAAAUGAAGAAGAAUAAUUAAAAGGAUAACAGUGAAGAGGUAAGCGAUGUUGUGGGAUUACGGUGGCGCUGGUGGUUCUGUUUGAUCUCUAUUCUGUACUGACGUGUUGGUUUUGCUGGUCGUGGCCUCGAGUGAACACUGUGUACAUAAUGUACAGCUUGGACUGUGUCUUUAAAAACACAUUUCCUGUUUCUGGAAUGGAGAAAAGGCCAGUUACAUCCGAAAUAUAUGAAUAUAAAAAAAACUGCAGUGAAUUUUUAUUCAAAUAAAUUUCCUAAAACGGCUCAAAUGUGUUUUUAUUCAAAUUCUAUAAAGUAGUGGAAAAAGCGAUUAAGCCAAAAAUAAAUACUUUUAUUUAAAAUGUUUAAGGCAUAAAAUACUCUGAAAAACAAACACGCCUCAAGCCUCAAACAGCAGGAAGUUUAAAUAAACAAAACAAAACAAACACACAAACAUCCUUACAACUUCAUCAGGAAUGGUUUUUUUUUUUUGAGGAAUGUUUAGAUUAAGUUUAAGAUUGAAGGACAAACAAACUUCACUUCAAACCUGCUCAACUUUUCAGUAAAAAGUAUUUCAGAUGUUGGUCCUACAGAUGUUUUCUUACAAUGCACCAUCUUCUAAUUUAAAAAGUCAUUAAAACAGAAGUAUAACAAUAUCAGAAGAUCUGUCCUAAACACAGAGCAGAUACCCCAAGUUAACGCAUCACUCUUACAGCAGGGUCUGUACUGAUCCUGUACACAGGGGUGCCACAGCCGCUAACCCAGCCGCUAACCCGCUAACACCAACAUCCGAGUAGGCCGAGAGAAACAAAAUGGAAAUGAAUUAGGUGUUGUACCUCAGCACGGGACGGCUCCACGCUAAACAGCAUAAUUCUCAGAUGUAUUUAGCUUGAACUGAUAUUUAAUCACAGUCUGCACCGAUGUUUCUAUUUAUGAAGUGUUAAAGCUUACUUGAUAAACUUCUAACAAAAUCAGCAUUUUAUCAUAACGGAUAGCGUUGGCGUAACAUCGAGGCCAAAGGUCUGUAAAACAUGUACCUGAGUAAUUACUCAAGUUUUAUUUCUUUGCCUUCAAAGUCCUUCUUGAUUUCUAUUGGCUCACCGGACCGGAGUAGGUGGGUUUACAGGUCAGAGUUCCCUUCGGUGCGGUCCCGAUGCAGAAGCACACGUGUUUUCACGUGUCUCCUGUAUCGCAGGGUCAAAGACCGUAAAUGUUGGCACCCCUGGGUAGGGAAUGUAACGGUCAUUUCUGUGCUCAAACUCUGUGUGGAGAUUUAAUCGUAAUUCUCUUUCACUAUAAGGAUAAUACUGAACAUUACUUUGAUUUAAUCAUCCAAUCCAACCUGCAUUCUCGUCUCGGGUUUACACAUGAUGUAUUUUUAACGUGGUUACAGGUGAACCCUGAAUCUGUUCUUCAUCAACACACACACGCAGUACAGAUUUACUCUCAUUAAAACUCCCUUACAGUAUGAUCUGGAGUAGGUUAAUCAUUUUAUCUGUAAAAACCACGUAUACAGUUUGACUCUGUUACACACUAACAGUGUCUUUACUCGGCUGAUACGAGUUCCAGGAGAAAUCCAGCUUAAGGCCUGUGUGCCACAAAAAAACAUCUUAAAUUCAUAAAGACUCAGGGAAAAAAAGCACAAUUUUUGUGGUAAAGAAAGAAAGAAACGAUGCACUGUAAUGAUUAAACAACGUUCUGACUGCUGGAGAGUAGCGCGGGUUAACUCAGUACAAUUUAUAUAUAUAUAUAUAUAUAUACACAUAAAAAGUUUAUUAGCUGCUAAACCAAUAUUCACAUUAAAUUACAACCCUGCUUCUUAAAGAUGUCUGAUUUUUUCUUUUAUUACAGUGGUGGAAAUUCGCUGUGUUUUCCCUAUGAAUAAUUAAAAAUAUAAUAGAAAUGGUUUCUCUGCGUGGAAAAUCCAGAAACUGAAAAAAAAAAAAAAAAAAUUCUUUCUUGAAUAAACAGCUUAAUAUUUGAUGAUGUUCUGCGUCCGGACAUCUGGGAACAUGUGCUGCAUUGCUCUAAUUAUUAACUUUUUUCAUUUAUUUAAGAGAACACUAAAAUUCUGAGGUACAGAAAAAAGUUCUGACCCUUAUAACGUCCAGGUAUGACAUGGUUUAUUACCAGCACCUGAGAUUGACCCGGUUACGAUUACGCAGUUCUCUUAUAUUACGAUCUUUAUUGAUUUCUUUAAAAUCUGUGGAGUUUACAGUUUAAUAAUGCAGCGUGUUCCAC